AGGACAUAUUUACUCUUUAGAUUAUGAUCUUCUAAUCAGUGAUGUAUUUUCGUUAAUUAUUUUUUUCGCUAUGGAGACAAAACCAGGGAAAAAACGCAUUUCCGGGAGAGUUGGGUGUCUAUUAUUGAAAAGCAAGGUGAUAAGACCAAAACGCUUCUUUCUUUCAUCGCGUCGUUUGUACGUUUAUCCCAGACACUGUUACCCAUCUGACCCUUUAGACUGACGCAGACUGGCGAUUACUCCAACUUUCAUCAGCAUAAGAGAGCACAGCAAUAAAGUAAACUAAACUAAACGCUUCGAAGCUACUUCAGAGAAAAGACUUUCUUCCAGGGUGAUUUCCAUCCACUUCAUAAUGGCAUCUGAACGUGUUUUAACGCUGUGUCUUUUCCUCGUCUGUUGCCUAACCAUCGUCUACUGUAAAAAAAUCGACUUUAAGUUUUGUAUUUCAAAAUCCGACUUCUAUCAAAUGUUAAUGAGAGAAUGUGGUGUAAUAGUGCGCAAGUCAAUUAUUGAUGCUUCAAAUCCAGUAGAGACGAGUCUGAAUGCAAGGAGUUUUUUGCGAGGAAGACAGUUUAAGCGCGGUGAAAGUGGAGAGCCCUCAAGACCAACAGAUUACAUCGAAGAGUGUUGUAUCGAGGGAUGUCGAACAGAGGAGGUCAUGGAAUACUGUUAAAGAUAUCUCUCGACGUACCACUGAGUACGCCAUGCUUAGAAAAAUUUAAAUGAAUAUUAAAAUAUUUUUGACAUUGGAAACUGAUAGUGCAUUUGAUGACGAAAAGGAAUUGAAUCGAAUAACAUAAGGAAUAUUGCUUGUUGAUAAUUGAUAAGGAUCCUUUGAAUAAAAACAGUGAAUCGACA